rfam:Corchorus capsularis cultivar CVL-1 contig12482, whole genome shotgun sequence.
UCCGUUGUCAUCUAGUCUGGUCAUGAUGUCUGGGUUUUGCCCAGUUUUUCCCGGGUUCAAAUCCCGGCAACGGAA